UACGGAGGAUCCAAGCGUUAUCCGGAUUUAUUGGGUUUAAAGGGUGCGUAGGCGGCCUGUUAAGUCAGGGGUGAAAGACGGUGGCUCAACCAUCGCAGUGCCCUUGAUACUGAUGGGCUUGAAUAGACUAGAGGUAGGCGGAAUGUGACAAGUAGCGGUGAAAUGCAUAGAUAUGUCACAGAACACCGAUUGCGAAGGCAGCUUACUAUGGUCUGAUUGACGCUGAGGCACGAAAGCGUGGGGAUCGAACAGG
rnacentral:rRNA from 1 species